rnacentral:snRNA from 1 species
AACUAUAGCCACCUUGAGUUCCU